rnacentral:misc_RNA from 1 species
GAUGAAGAACGCAGCGAAAUGCGAUAAGUAAUGUGAAUUGCAGAAUUCGGUGAAUCAUCGAAUCUUUGAACGCACAUUGCGCCCGCCAGCACUCUGGCGGGCAUGCCUGUUCGAGCGUCAUUUCAACCAUCAAGCCCCCAGGGGCUUGUGCUGGGGCCCUGCGGCUGCCCGCAGGCCCUGAAAACCAGUGGCGGGCUCGCUAGUCACACCGAGCGCAGUAGCACAUCUCGCUCAGGGCGUGCGGCGGGCUCCUGCCGUGAAACCCCCCACUGUAACCCCAAAGGUUGACCUCGGAUCAGGUAGGAAUACCCGCUGAACUUAAGCAUAUCAAUAAGCGGAGGA